rnacentral:rRNA from 1 species
AUCGCCUCUUGCAUUCCAAAGUAUAAGAGGUCCCACCUGCCCUGUGACUCUAAGUUUAACGGCCGCGGUAUUCUAACCGUGCGAAGGUAGCGCAAUCAAUUGCCUUUUAAAUGAAGGCCUGUAUGAAUGGUAUAACGAGGGUCUAGCUGUCUCUUUUUUCUAGUCAGUUAAACUGAUCUGUCCGUGCAGAAGCGGACAUAAAUAUACAAGACGAGAAGACCCUAUGGAGCUUUAGACACUAGCCAACUGUGAAUAAGCGACUGAACUCAACAAGUCCUAAAUACCCGCAGCCUUAUGGUGAUGUAGUCUUAGGUUGGGGCGACCACGGGAGAAAGUAAAGCUCCCAAGCAGACCGGGAAAACCCUUAAGCCGAGAGUUGCAACUCUAAGCCGCAAAAUUUUUGACUGAAAUGAUCCGGUUGAAAAACCGAUUAACGAACCAAGUUACCCUAGGGAUAACAGCGCAAUCCUCUCCCAGAGUCCCUAUCGACGAGGGGGUUUACG